AUACGGAGGGUCCAAGCGUUGUUCGGAAUCACUGGGCGUAAAGCGCGCGUAGGUGGAUCAAUUAGUUGAGGGUGAAAUCCCGGGGCUCAACCUCGGAACUGCCUUCAAUACUGUUGAUCUUGAGACCGAGAGAGGUGAGUGGAAUUCCUAGUGUAGAGGUGAAAUUCGUAGAUAUUAGGAAGAACACCAGUGGCGAAGGCGGCUCACUGGCUCGGUACUGACGCUGAGGUGCGAAAGCGUGGGGAGCAAACAGGAUUAGAAACCCUAGUAGUCC
rnacentral:rRNA from 1 species